UGCCGCGUGAGUGAAGAAGGCCUUCGGGUUGUAAAGCUCUUUCAGCCGGGAAGAAAAUGCAUGGAUUAAUACCCUGUGCAGAUGACGGUACCGGAAUAAGAAGCACCGGCUAACUACGUGCCAGCAGCCGCGGUAAUACGUAGGGUGCGAGCGUUAAUCGGAAUUACUGGGCGUAAAGCGUGCGCAGGCGGUUGGUUAAGAUAGGCGUGAAAUCCCCGGGCUCAACCUGGGAACUGCGCUUAUGACUGGUCAGCUAGAGUACGGCAGAGGGGGGUGGAAUUCCACGUGUAGCAGUGAAAUGCGUAGAGAUGUGGAGGAACACCAAUGGCGAAGGCAGCCCCCUGGGUCGAUACUGACGCUCAUGCACGAAAGCGUGGGUAGCAAACAGGAUUAGAUACCCUGGUAGUCCACGCCCUAAACGAUGUCAACUAGGUGUUGGGAGGGUAAAACCUUUUAGUACCGUAGCUAACGCGAGAAGUUGACCGCCUGGGGAGUACGGCCGCAAGGUUAAAACUCAAAGGAAUUGACGGGGACCCGCACAAGCGGUGGAUGAUGUGGAUUAAUUCGAUGCAACGCGAAAAACCUUACCUACCCUUGACAUGUCAGGAACUUGCC
rnacentral:rRNA from 1 species